AUGGACAGCUGGACUCUACAGGGGGACAGCUACUCCUUCCUGCGAAGUGCACCCCGCAACACAUUUUCCCUGUGCCAUCGGGACGGCACCCCCAACCAGGUUGAAAUCUUCGACAUCAUAAACGUACCAAGUCAGCGCAGUGUCAUCUCCGAGACCACCAGCCUUUGUGACAUUUUUGGAGACGACUGUGAGUCACCGUCUGUCUCCAGUAGCCCUGCUGCCGGGACUUUUGUUCUUCCGCGUAGGGAGGUGGACGGGUCAGCUGCUGCCUCUUCUCUGGCGGAUGAUCUGAACGACUCGUCGGGCUCUUACCACACUGCUCCGGGGUCCAGUGAAGGCGAGGAGGGAUUUGAAGAUUCUAGAGAAAGGGUUUGCAGUCCCCUGUUGCAGUGCGAUUCUUCAGAAAGGAGGCAGCUGGCGGGUGAGGGACUGACCUCAGGGCUUACAGAAGUUUCCGACGAUAGAAGCCCAAAUUUAGAACCAGAAAGUAAAUCACCCGCACCUCAAUUUAGUACAGCAAGCCCAUCGUCAUCAGUCCUCAACACUGGUGAGAGCACACCCUCUCCUGGACAUAAUAGCCCCUUUACCCUCAGUAUAGAGGGAAGCUUGUCAUCCUUGUCUUCUUCCCCAGUUGAAAAAACACCAUCAUCACCUAGUCCUAGAAAAACCUACCCAGAAACGGAUGCAAGAAGAACCACUCCCACUUUCAUUGAUAGAUCUCCGUCUCUAACUCCAAGCCCCUCACCUGAGCCUGGGAACUGUGUCACCUCAUCUUCCUGUGAAUCAGUGAACACCCAGUUGUUACCUGAGUUGGGUGUCGCACAGGCUUACCCUGUGCCCGGGAGCAGCUGCUUUAAUCAACACAGCAGUCCCUCACCCGAGCCCACAUCCAAAGAGCUUUCUCUGGAUUCUACAGAAUCCACGUUUGAUUCUGCAGCCACACUUCUAUCUCCUUCACCCUCAGCCAGUAUUACAGAGUUAUCAUCCCAGUCGAGAGAGACACUGGCCUCACCUCAGUUGAAAGACAAGCCUUCCUCCUGGGAUUCGCAAGCGUCCUCUCCUUUUUCUGAGCUAAGAGGGAGGGUGUUCCUGCUUGAUCUCCUCAGCAGAGGCUCAACACCUGAUAACGGAGAUUUUACCCACAUCCCUGAGCAGAUUUUAGAUUCUUCCACUGCAAGAGGACACAAUACAACCACUCCUGAGAGACAAGAUACAAGACUCAGUGCUGUAUGUACACAACCUUCACCUGUUUCAUCACCAGCAGCAUCUCCUCAGCUUGUGCAUAGCAUCUCACCUGAAUUGAUACACACAGUUCCCUCACCUGGCCAACCCUGUGACGCUUCUUCUGAUAAAACUUGGACAAGGACUCCGCCUCCCGACGCCUCGCAUAAAAUUAGACACAUUUUAACACCUCCUGACAGCAGGACCCAGGUGUUGUCACCUGUGUUCAGUUAUAGCUUAUCUCCAUCGCCUGACAUUACGAGCAGUUACUCUCCCACAGAGCAAGAACAUACAGCUCCCUCACCUGAAAUUAGGAUUACAGCUUCUUCCCCUGAGGUCAGUGAAAGAGAGUUGUCUUCUGAAGUGGAAACAACUCCUGCAUCUCCUUUCCUAGAUCUUCACUCUGACUGUUCCUCAUCAAGAAGCCUCACUUCGUCCCCUCACAUCACAGGGAUUUCUUACUCUGUUGUUCAACCCGAGGACAGGGACACUCCCUCAUUUCCCGAGCUUUCUUGUCUCUCCACCCGUCAACCUGAUAGGACACUUGUUUCCCCUGAAGCAAGGAGCCCUACCCCCCACGGAGACAGUAAACAUAGCAGUAUAGCAGAGUCCACCUGUUCACCAAGAGAUUCACCUUGUAUAUCAGGAGUCACAAGCUCUGACCUGCAGCCAGAAGUAACUGUGUUGCAUCAAGCCAGCUAUCAAACACCUUCACCUCGGCCAGAGCGUCACACUCCCUCGACUGAGCCAAGAUAUCAAACCCCUUCAUCUGACAAGAAUCAAAGUCCCUCGCCUCAGCAAAGGAGUAGAGGUCCAUCACCUGCCUCAUGCCCUGAACAGAGGUAUCAUUGGAAUUCACAACCGACCGUCUCCACUGAGUACAACCGUCAUUGUACCCGGCCUACUCCUCCUCUAAGAAAUACACCCGAGGUUGAGGAGGAUUCCGCUUCAGUUGAUAUUACAGAAAAACAAUACCCAACACAUUUGGCCAAAGAGAGUGUGUCACCCUCAUUUAAACAACAAAACAAAGAGAGGGAAGCAGGACAAAAGGAGGCAACCCUUCAGGAUAAUUCAAGUCUCCCAGAGGAAAAACAACCUAUUACCCCGAAUUUUGGACAGAACGAAGACACUUUUAAAAAUCUACCCAUUGAAAUAAAUACUCCUUCUCGUAAUAGUCUAAUCUUCGAAGACAGGAGUCCAGGUAUCUCACCUGUCCACAGGUCUACAGCAACCUCGCCUGUGCAGAAAAAAGAAACCUCAAUUCAGCCUGAAUUCUCUACGUAUCCGCAAACUUAUGAGAGCAGCGGCUUAUUAAAAUCAGCCUGUACACCUGAGCCUGCCAGAAGACAGCUGUCAGCCAAAAUUAGAGGUGAAACCAGGAACAGGACAACAGAGGACAUGGCCCAGCAUGUAAACAGAAGGCGGACUCCCUCUCCGCCACUCACCAGGUUUACACCUGUCCACAUCAUAGCCCCUGAGAAACCAUACAGACAGUGGCAGAACAGAAGCCGUAGCCCCUCCCAGGUUGUAGCAUCCUCACCCAAUUGUAAUUUGAGGAAAGUGCAGACAAAUAGGGAAUGCCCCGAUGUUGCCUAUGUUGACAAUAAUAGCCAGGCCCAUUGGGUCAGGCAAGGAAGGCAAUUGGAGAUGAAAAGGGAAAUGCAGCUAGAGGACGAAAGGGAGGUAGGUAGGCAGAGGAAAAUUGAUAGGGAGCCAGAGAGCCAGAGAAAGAAGAGGGAGGAGCAGGUUCCUGAAAAGGGGAAGGGUGGGCAGUGGGACGCCAGUUACAGAGGGGAACAGGCUGAACUGUCAUUCAACGCCAAGAAUAGAAAAGGGCCUGCAAGUCGCAGCACAGCUCCCACAAGCAAGGAGACCCGUCAGGGACGGCCAACAGCGCAUUCCUACUCGGAAAGCUUGCUUACCACCAGGCAGAUACAGCAACAACAGAGUCUGCUUCGACUUGCUUCCCAACAAGACAGCAGGGGUGGUGCACCCAGCAGACGCCGUCAACCUCCUGCACCACACAACAAGAGCAGUCUUCCUGGACGCGUGGCCGCACACAGGUCCUGCCGGAGUUCCAGCUCCAGCAUGGGAAGUGAGCUUGAUGAGGCAGACGAUGAGGUGAAAUGGUUCACAGACUUGGCUUUCAACAGCCUCUCAAGCCCUGAGGUAGAUUACCUUGACAUGUACAACUCCAGCCACCGUUCAUCUACCAACAUUUCUCAACCAUCUACACAGGAGAGUCCCGCUGGGGUCAGCACAGCCUGGCCGGCCUAUGCUGACUUCAGGGGUUCUGCUCCUAGGCUGGACAAUGAUGAACUCUCAUUCCAGCAACCACCUGCAUACUACUCAGACGGCCUAGAUCCGUCAAGGCGCUACGAGAUGGGCAGCUUUGAGUGUGUGGAUGUUGCCGUGGAAAGAGAGGACUUCAGAAGGGUGAGAAGAGGAGUGCCGAAAAGACAGAUCCAGCUGAAGAAAAAGAGUGACGCUGAAGGGAAGCAGGAUGAGAGCAGUGAAAAUAGUAGUCCUGGGUUACCAGUGAUGGGGGAGAGCCCCUCUCUAGAGACUCCUUCCAGGGAGAAGCUCAUGAGACAACACAGUACACCAGCAGCAAUGCCAGAAUGCUACGCCUCUGAACGGAACCUUGAGCAGCAUCAACAAAAUAAAAGAAAAUCCAAACUCCAGAAAUCUGCUUCUCUUGAUGAAACAUGCACUAAGACCAAGAUGGCCACUUGUCUUAUCAAGAGUGUGUUAUCCAAGAAGAUGCAGAUUUUUGAAAAACAACCUGAUGAGCAGGUAGGAGAAGAGGGGAGCCCGGCUUUUGAGGAAAACAGACAACCAACAGAGAGCACACAGGUACUCCUCAAAGAGUCCCCACUACCUGACCAACAUGAUCUUAGUUCCAGUCUUCAGUCAGAUCACAGUCUUUUAUCUGAGGGUGUCACUGAGAGAGAAAAGAAAAUCACAAAGGAUAAUUUGAACCCAGCCAAAAGCUUUGGAGCAAGAUCCAGUAAUAGGCCAAGUUCAUCCAGCAGCAGCCGAAGUGUUAACUUUUCAUUGACCGAGAGUGAGGAGGUUGAUUCUCAAAGCACAAAUGCGGCCUCACUAAGAUCUGAAAGGAGAGCAGAACUGAAAGUGCCAUUUGAUAGUAAACAGUCAAGAACUGGAGUACAACAAGCUGAUGAGAGCGAGACAUGGGACAGAGGGGAGGGUGGUGACUCAGCAAAUGCCACCGCCAGGAACUCAGGAGCUCCUCCUGCCACAGGAGCCAGCAGCAUGCAGGCCAGGGGGACAAGCAGAGACCCAGAACGUAAAAACACGGAGGACUAUAAACAACUGGAACAGGAUGCCAGGGGCGCUUACACGUCACAAACACAGGACAUUACUGUCAGAGCUGUGGAGAAAAAAGAAAGCCUCCUUAAAUGUCUGUCUCACACCUGA
ensembl:lncRNA